AUGCAUUUUAUUAAUCUCUCAUUGGAGAAACAAAAUUACAAGAUCCCUUUACAUAUGCGCUCCAUGGCCUACUUGCGCGGCCUGCUUGACUGUGGCGAUUGCGGUCUCCUGGUUCCCGGGGCCUCGGAAGGCUCCCGGUUAAUUACACCCGUGGGUUGCUCAAGGGGAUACCUCCGAUUAAGCUGUGUGGUCGUCUUCGUCGUCUUCGCUUCGCGUCCUCCAUGCAUGAUGAUGGUGAUGUGUGUGUGGGCAGCGGCAGAGCCCGUGUUCUCGUCGGUACACGCGCCGCAAGUGGCGUGGCCUUAG
rnacentral:rRNA from 1 species